AUGGCCAGCGUCACCGAGCUCUGCCCGUUGUCCCUCGAGAUCGUGAACCGGCCCUUGACUGACGACGCGUAUCUGGUGGUGCCACCACUGCCGAUACUCGCGAGCCAUUCCAGCCCCUGCCCGGGUCUCUGGCGGAUCCAAUACAUCCCAAAACUCCCGAAAUCGAACCCGGAGCCUCGGCAGAGCAACGUCAGGGACCCGCCGGGGGGCUGGAGGUCCCCCCCGGACUCCAAGCUCCGGGCGGCCGUGACCCUGCUGGAGUCCGGGGGGGACCUCCAGCCCCCCGGUGGGUCCCUGACGUUGCUCUGCCGAGGAUCCGGGUUCGAUUUCGGGAAUUUUGGAAUGUUCUGGAUGCGCCAGAGGCCCGGGCAGCCAUUGGAGUUUGUCGCAGGCAUCAACAACGAUGGUGCCAACUCCUACUACGGUCCAUCGGUGCGGGGCCGGUUCAGGAUCUCGAGGGACAACGGGCAGAGCUCGGUGACGCUGGCCAUGAGCAGCCUCAGGGACGAGGAUUCCGCCAUCCUGAACCGGCCCUUGAACGACGGCGCGUACUCGGUGUAA